UGGGGAAUAUUGGACAAUGGGGGAACCCUGAUCCAGCCAUGCCGCGUGUGUGAAGAGGGCCUUAUGGUUGUAAAGCACUUUAAGCGAGGAGGAGGCUACUGAGACUAAUACUCUUGGAUAGUGGACGUUACUCGCAGAAUAAGCACCGGCUAACUCUGUGCCAGCAGCCGCGGUAAUACAGAGGGUGCGAGCGUUAAUCGGAUUUACUGGGCGUAAAGCGUGCGUAGGCGGCUUUUAAGUCGGAUGUGAAAUCCCCGAGCUUAACUUGGGAAUUGCAUUCGAUACUGGGAAGCUAGAGUAUGGGAGAGGAUGGUAGAAUUCCAGGUGUAGCGGUGAAAUGCGUAGAGAUCUGGAGGAAUACCGAUGGCGAAGGCAGCCAUCUGGCCUAAUACUGACGCUGAGGUACGAAAGCAUGGGGAGCAAACAGGAUUAGAUACCCUGGUAGUCCAUGCCGUAAACGAUGUCUACUAGCCGUUGGGGCCUUUGAGGCUUAGUGGCGCAGCUAACGCGAUAAGUAGACCGCCUGGGGAGUAC
rnacentral:rRNA from 1 species